rnacentral:lncRNA from 1 species
GGGGGAUUCGCCCCAUAGCGGCGCCGCAUGAAAUCCCGCACGAAGGCGGGGAAGCGCCGCCCCACAAUGCUGUCCCGCACCGCCCGCAUCAACCGCAGCUGGUAGGCGAUGUUGUGCACUGUGAUGUGGUGCAGCGCCGCGGGGUCGGAGCGCAGCAACGCAUGGAGGAACGCACGGCUGUGCCGCUGACAUGUGGGGCAGUCGCAGUCCUCAUCAAUGGGGCGGAAAUCCUUUGCAAACUGACGGUUCUUCAGCUGCAGAGACCCCCAUGGGCCCAACGCGGAGCCGAAGCGCGCUGUCCGUGUGGGGAAGACGCAGUCAAACAUAUCGC